rnacentral:misc_RNA from 1 species
AAGUCGUAACAAGGUCUCCGUUGGUGAACCAGCGGAGGGAUCAUUAUCGAGUUUACAACUCCCAAACCCUUAUGUGAACCUUACCUCUUGUUGCUUCGGCGGGAACGCCCCGGCGCCCUUCACGGGGCUAGCCCGGAACCAGGCGCCCGCCGGAGACCCCAAACUCUUGUUUUUACCAAUGGUAUCUUCUGAGUGUUAAACGCAAAAUAAAUUAAAACUUUCAACAACGGAUCUCUUGGCUCUG